CUACUGGACCAAGCGUCUCAUCUCUUGAUUUGAGCGCAACUUCAUUGGGGAAGAACUGUGUAGAAUUUUGGUUGUUUUGGAGAAGAACAAGGUCAGGACGAGGUGUUGUUUUCGGUGGAGUCCUCAAUGUCAGGGGGGAGAGCAAUAGAGAGAAUUCUUCACCUGCAGGAGAGAUGUCCUCCAAUGGGCAGAAUAUUUGACUGACAUUGCAUCAGUUGAUCUGUCCAACGCCCAGUGUAUCCCUGCCCCUCUGGCCACACCCAUCCCUGUCAGCGAUAAGCCCAGUGGCCACACCCUGUGCUGACCUAUUUGAUAGCUCCAGUAUGGGCCUGCCCCCCCCUGCCCUACU
rnacentral:lncRNA from 8 species